rnacentral:rRNA from 1 species
CCUACGGGGGGCAGCAGUGGGGAAUAUUGCGCAAUGGACGAAAGUCUGACGCAGCGACGCCGCGUGAGGGAUGAAGGUUUUCGGAUCGUAAACCUCUGUCAGGAGGGAAGAAAGCGCAUGGCGCCAAUCAGCCAUGCGUUGACGGUACCUCCAAAGGAAGCGCCGGCUAACUCCGUGCCAGCAGCCGCGGUAAUACGGAGGGCGCGAGCGUUAUCCGGAUUUAUUGGGUUUAAAGGGUGCGUAGGCGGAUCGUUAAGUCAGUGGUCAAAUUGAGGGGCUCAACCCCUUCCCGCCAUUGAAACUGG